ensembl:lncRNA
CUGAAAAAUAGCAAAACACAUGCAAGAAAACCCACUUCACGGACAUAAACAAUUCUUUAUUCUUUUAUAUUUUACGACACGGUAAUCAACGUUUAGACUCAAGGACAGGAACAUGGCAGAAGAAGGUGAGGUGGAGAUUAUUGACUCUGGUGUUCAGAAUGCUGGUCCCCCAAAACAAAACUCCAUGACUGAAACAGGAGCCCUAGUGGAGGUUGCCUUUCAGAAAGACCCCUAUCAAAAAAACAAGUACCUGGAGGCAGAACCUAAAGCUUUAGGGGUUUGUAGAUGGAACCUACCUUUGUGGGUCGCUUCACUUUAGACCUACUUUUAAUCUUUUGACUGUUUCUUCACAAGGCAGAGAUGAUAUCUAUGUUAUUUCUUUCUCCAAAGAUUACGCAAAUUAUGCUGAGUCUCUUUCUCAUGAGCAUCAGAUAUGCCAUUUCGGGAAAUGAGUCAAUGGCACACCUGAUAUUUGGAGGUCUUUCUUUAUUUGUAAGUUGAUCUCUUUAUAAUAAAAUCAUUAAAUCAUUAUCAUUACUAGCCUAAUAUGAUGCAGUUGGUUAUUUUUUUAAUGCACUGUCUGAUAUCUGAUUUCUAGUGGGUAUUUGUUUUCAAUCCUGCAGGGCUUAAUAGCUGGUGGUGUGGCAGUAGGUGCUCAGAACCUGCAUCUUCCUACAGUAAGCAAGGAAGCACUGACACACCACCUGGACAUCUUGCCCAAUAGCUGCCGUUAUUCAGAAUACAGUCACAGCUCAUACACGAUUAUGUCAUAGCAAUGUUUUAAAAGUGUGUGUCUCUGUCUGUGUGCAUGCCUGUUUUGUCUCCUCACAGCUGAAGGCCUGUUUGGGAGUGCAGGUUGUGAUGUGUGUAGUGUCAGUGUUCUGCAUGAUCACCAAUCUUGGGACCGAAUUUGAAAGCCCAGGCUUUCGGUUUUGCUGGCGUGACUCUCAAAACAGCACCUCGGGAAGAAUCCUGUGUGGAAAACUCCUGGUAAUAUUGCAUUUUGUUCCCUUGCUACACUUUUAUUUUUACUUACAGUCUGUCGCUUA